rnacentral:rRNA from 1 species
GAUGAACGCUGGCGGCGUGCUUAACACAUGCAAGUCGAACGGAAAGGCCCAAUCUUGCUUGGGUACUCGAGUGGCGAACGGGUGAGUAACACGUGGGUGAUCUGCCCUGCACUUCGGGAUAAGCCUGGGAAACUGGGUCUAAUACCGGAUAGGACCACAUUUUGGAUGGUGUGGUGGAAAGUUUUUCGGUGUGGGAUGAGCUCGCGGCCUAUCAGCUUGUUGGUGGGGUAAUGGCCUACCAAGGCGUCGACGGGUAGCCGGCCUGAGAGGGUGUACGGCCACAUUGGGACUGAGAUACGGCCCAGACUCCUACGGGAGGGAGCAGUGGGGAAUAGUGCACAAUGGGCGCAAGCCUGAUGCAGCGACGCCGCGGGGGGGAUGACGGCCUUCGGGUUGGAAACUCAUUUCGCUAGGGCCGAAGCGUUAUGUGACGGUACCUGGAGAAGAAGCACCGGCUAACUACGUG